UUGGAAACUAUUGGAAAUCUACUAAAAUUGGAACGAUACAGAGAAGAUUAGCAUGGCCCCUGCGCAAGGAUGACACGCAAAAUCGUGAAGCGUUCCUUUUUUCU